GGUCGUGUGGCGUAGUGGUUAUUACGCCUGGUAGUGCUUUUUUAAGCACGCAGGUUCGAUUCCUGCGGCGACCA